ACCCUCUAAAAUCCAGAUAUGAUUUUCAGAUUUGCCGAACAUUUAGAAUGCAUUAAAUUCUCAGACUUUUAUUCUCUUAGACACCUUCUAUGCUCUUAGUGUCUUUGACCACAGCUGUCAACUUGGAAAACCACCCACGUGAAAUCAUCAAACAUCUAUAUUUUGUAGGACAAUUUCGAUAUGAUAUGACAUGACAUGACGUGACCUGACAUGUUAAAAUAGACGUAUUAAGCAAAUGUACUUGCUACAGCAAUGUUAGCUUUCUUUCCAAACGCGUUCCAAAUCCGAUACAGGUGUAUUUCAGUUGGGAACAUUGGGUGAAGAAGGUCACGACCAUGCCUGAAAUCUAGCUGGGUGGCUAACGUGCAGGAGAAUGAAGAAUGCAUCAUUGUGUAUCCAUGUAAGCACAAUCUGUUGAAAAUGAUGUCAAAAGGACUCGCUGUCGCGGUCAGUGGAUAUGGUUCAGUGGUGGAGCACCGGCCUGGAAAAGAUCCCAUCUUAAUAUUUUUCUUCUGUGUAAACAUCUGUAAUAAUUUCAAUGGUCAUACCUACACUCAGUCAUCCUCUAAAACAUGGCUUUGAAUGUACAUGUAGAAGGUCUAAAUGAAAGGUAUUUCCAGGAGAAAACCCACCAGAAUCUUUUCAACCGUUUACCAAUGAAACACACUCCAGGAUCCAGUCCUAACACACGUCACUCACUCUAACGUGGGAGACCAGUGAAAGCACAGAAUUGAUGGGUCUUGGCUGUCCGCUAGACAGAGAGAAAGACUGGGGGGAAAACUGACGCUUGGCCCAUUUGGUUUUUAAGAGCAAUGUAUGGUUAAUAACAGUUCAAAAGUAGCUACUGCCUAUAAAAGACUCAGAAUUGUUCUCUGGGUUAAUUUUUAACACCCUUCGGCCUAUUAAUUUCUACCAGUCCCAGCCUCGAGCACAGCAAGGUUCAUUCAGUUCUCCAAGGCGCCCCGUAGCGCUGCCCCCUUGGGAAACAGCAGUUACAAAUGCCACACAGCCAACCAACUGCUCAUCUCUGCCUUGUGUGCUGUUUGGGGAAGAAAAUACACACGUGCUGAUAAUCUUCAGAGAGAUGCUUCACAAAUAUUCACGUCCAGAACUACCAGGAAGUAUUUUAUCAUUACCAUAAUGUGCUUGUGAGGUCAGAAGAGUAUACUUCUCUAAAUCUUCACACGUGUACAGUACAGUCUCUCACACUUCAGUAAUUCAGUCAACGGGCCUUCGUUGACUCUGUUUACAGGUAAUAUUCAUAUUCUAGACAGUUAGGCUCACAGGAUUGAGUUUUGUCCUAUCCAUAUAAAUAAGGAACGGACUACUGUGCAGAUAAUCAGUACUCAAAGUUACGAGCCAACACUUUAUAAAGUUUUAAGAUUUUGCUAAAUUCAACAUCCCAUUUCACUUAAAGUCUAGACAAUAUACUAUUGACUCUAGCCAAAGUAGAAAUCCAUGACCUACACCCAUGUCCAGAUUCUCUGGUGGCUCCUGCACUAUGCCUCACUUGAUGUUACGAUUCUGUUUGUGCUAAGUGUUCCAAUUUCUAUUUAGGAACUCUAAAUACACAUCUCUAUCCGAUCAGGAGUUUCUCGCUGUUAGAGGUGUACGUAUUUUGAACUGUAUUUAGUUUUCUAGUGCAUGUUUCCUACUGUUUAAUACUUGACAAACCUUGGCGAAUUUAGUCUUUCCAUUCCUACCUGUGACAUACAGAAUCUCUCUUGAAAACUGCCACUGUCCCAUUUACCAAAUCAUGCUAGCCUACACUGUAUCAAAAGUACGGUAUAUUUUAUGGAGACUUAGUGAUACACACGUCAAUGUUUUUUAGGUUAUUUUAUCGAACUUCAGUAUUUACAUGAAGUUAUAAUCCUUUUUUUUUUAAAGAAAGUGUCAGUGCCAGACCUGUAUAAGAAAACAAUCAAAUAAAAGUAAAGAUAACUCA
rnacentral:lncRNA from 1 species